rnacentral:rRNA from 1 species
GAAUAUUGGGCAAUGGACGAGAGUCUGACCCAGCCAUGCCGCGUGCAGGAAGACGGCCUUCUGGGUUGUAAACUGCUUUUAUCUGGGAAGAAAACGUCUCUGCGGAGAUAACUGGCGGUACCAGAUGAAUAAGCACCGGCUAACUCCGUGCCAGCAGCCGCGGUAAUACGGAGGGUGCAAGCGUUGUCCGGAUUUAUUGGGUUUAAAGGGUGCGUAGGCGGUUAAUUAAGUCAGCGGUGAAAGACUACAGCUCAACUGUAGCAGUGCCAUUGAUACUGGUUAACUUGAGUAUUGUUGAGGUAUUUGGAAUUUAUAGUGUAGCGGUGAAAUGCAUAGAUACUAUAAGGAACACCGAUAGCGUAGGCAGAAUACUAAGCAAUAACUGACGCUGAGGCACGAAAGCGUGGGUAGCGAACAGG